rnacentral:tRNA from 1 species
CAUUAAGAAGCUUAUUUUAAAGCGUUAACCUUUUAAGUUAAAGACUGGAAGUACUAAUCUCCCCUUAAUGA